rnacentral:rRNA from 1 species
UACAUAGGUGGCAAGCGUUGUCCGGAUUUACUGGGCGUAAAGAGCGCGCAGGCGGUCGUUCAAGUCGCGUGUGAAAGCCCCCGGCUCAACUGGGGAGGGUCACGCGAUACUGAUCGACUCGAAGGCAGGAGAGGGUAGUGGAAUUCCCGGUGUAGUGGUGAAAUGCGUAGAUAUCGGGAGGAACACCAGUGGCGAAGGCGACUACCUGGCCUGUUCUUGACGCUGAGGCGCGAAAGCUAGGGGAGCAAACGGGG